AGUUAAUUAGCUUAUCAGUAAAGCCUGUGUUUUGAAAGCACAAGAUAGAAGUUAAAAUCUUCUGUUAACUU
rnacentral:tRNA from 1 species